rnacentral:rRNA from 1 species
UGGGGAAUAUUGGGCAAUGGACGAAAGUCUGACCCAGCGACGCCGCGUGCGGGAUGAAGGCCUUCGGGUUGUAAACCGCUUUCAGCAGGGAAUAAGCGCAAGUGAAGGUACCUGCAGAAGAAGCACCGGCUAACUAUGUG